rnacentral:vault_RNA from 1 species
GGGCCGGCUUUAGCUUAGCAGUUACUUCGACAAUACUUUCUAUGGUGGAAAACAACCGCUCUGUGUGGUUUGAGACCCGCGGGCACUCUCCAGCCCUUUA